rnacentral:sRNA from 1 species
ACCAGGUGCAGUGGUGCUCGCCUGUAAUCCCAACAGCUUGGGAGGCUGAGACAGGAGGAUUGAAAGUUCAAAGCAAGCCUUAGCAAUGGCGAGGCAAGGUGCUAAGCAACUCAGUGAGACCCUGUCUCUA